GAAGAUGUAACGGGGCUAAACCAUGCACCGAAGCUGCGGCAGCGAACGUAUCACCCAAGACAACUUUACGGAGUUGACGAUUGACGGAGCGAAGCGACGUCAAAGCGUUCAUUAAAGUCGAGUUGGCUUAGGGAUACGUUCGUUGGGUAGGGGAGCGUUCUGUAAGCCUGUGAAGGUGGCCUGUGAGGGUUGCUGGAGGUAUCAGAAGUGCGAAUGCUGACAUAAGUAACGAUAAUGCGGGUGAAAAACCCGCACGCCGGAAGACCAAGGGUUCCUGUCCAACGUUAAUCGGGGCAGGGUGAGUCGACCCCUAAGGCGAGGCCGAAAGGCGUAGUCGAUGGGAAACAGGUUAAUAUUCCUGUACUUGGUGUUACUGCGAAGGGGGGACGGAGAAGGCUAUGUUAGCCGGGCGACGGUUGUCCCGGUUUAAGCAUGUAGGCGGAGGUUCCAGGUAAAUCCGGUACCUUAUUAACGCUGAGGUGUGAUGACGAGGCACUACGGUGCUGAAG
rnacentral:rRNA from 1 species